rnacentral:lncRNA from 1 species
CACAGCCACUGUCUACUCUGGGAGUUUCUUGUGAAAAGGAGUGACUUCUUGUCACUUACCGAGCUUGUCUCUGAACAGCAGUAUGCCCAUGGACUGCAGGUAGGUCCACGGGGUUUACCAUAUCAAAUCAUGAAAGAGGACAUAGUUUCUAUCUAGUCUUCUGGAGACACUUCUCUGGGAACACACGAGAUGCUGGGAUGUAUCCUGGGACACACAGUCAAUCCAGGUGUCAAUGUUGCUGCUACGGCUGCCAGGGAACAGAAGCCUAGACUGUGCAGCUGAGUUAUGCUGGCCAUAGGGCUGCAAGAACACCAUGGGAG